CUUGUCUUAGUCAAGUGGUUAACACAACAGAAUCAAAAUCUGUCUCUCUUGGACUGCGCAGGUUUGAAGCCUGCCGACAAUA